GCCCACUACCUCCAGCAUUUGCUCCAGCGGGGGCUCCGGCAUUUGCUCCUCCAGUUCCAAAAGCUGGUCCAGACGUUCCAAAGACUGGAGCACCUUUUGUUGGUACACCAUAGCCACCAGAUCCUCCAGCA